rnacentral:rRNA from 1 species
GAUGAACGCUGACAGAAUGCUUAACACAUGCAAGUCGAUGGGGAAGUGGUGCUUGCACCAUGGCAACCAUGGCGGACGGGUGAGUAACGCGUAAGGGACUUACCUGCAGGACUGGGAUGACAGGGGGAAACUCCUGACAAGACCGGAUAAUGUCAUGGAGCUGCAUGGCUUUAUGAUGAAAGGAGACGCCUGCGGAGAGCCUUGCGUCCUAUUAGCUAGUUGGUGAGGUAAUGGCUCACCAAGGCGAAGAUAGGUAGCCGGCCUGAGAGGGUGGACGGCCACAAGGGGACUGAGAUACGGCCCUUACUCCUACGGGAGGCAGCAGUGGGGAAUAUUGGACAAUGGGGGCAACCCUGAUCCAGCAAUUCUGUGUGCACGAAGAAGGUUUUCGGAUUGUAAAGUGCUUUCAGCAGGGAAGAAGUAAGUGACGGUACCUGCAGAAGAAGCGACGGCUAAAUACGUG